ensembl:snRNA U6 U6 spliceosomal RNA
GUGCUCAUUUUAGCAGCAUAUAUACUAAAAUUUUAAUGAUACAGAGAAGAUUAACAUGGCUCCUAUACAAAAGAAAACUGCAGACUGAGGGAAAGUGUAUGUAAACUAUUUAU